CCUACGGGUGGCAGCAGUGAGGAAUAUUGGUCAAUGGGGGAAACCCUGAUGCAGCGACGCCGCGUGAGUGAAGAAGUAUUUCGGUAUGUAAAGCUCUUUCAGCAGGGAAGAAAAUGACGGUACCUGAUUAAGAAGCCCCGGCUAACUACGUGCAAGAUGCCGCGGUAAUACGUAGGGGGCAAGCGUUAUCCGGAUUUACUGGGUGUAAAGGGAGCGUAGACGGCAGCACAAGUCUGGAGUGAAAUGCCGGGGCUUAACCCCGGAACUGGUGUGGAAACUGUUCAGCUAGAGUGCAGGAGAGGGAAGUGGAAUGCCUGGUGUAGCGGUGAAAUGCGUAGAUAUUAGGAGGAACACCAGUGGCGAAGGCGGCUUACUGGACUGUAACUGACGUUGAGGCUCGAAAGCGUGGGGAGCAAACAGGAUUAGAUACCCUAGUAGUC
rnacentral:rRNA from 1 species